AUUGAACGCUGGCGGCAGGCCUAACACAUGCAAGUCGAACGAGUGGCGGACGGGUGAGUAAUGUCUGGGAAACUGCCUGUUGGAGGGGGAUAACUACUGGAAACGGUAGCUAAUACCGCAUACCAUCAGAUGUGCCCAGGUGGGAUUAGCUAGUCGGUUGGGUAACGGCCCACCUAGGCGACGAUCCCUAGCCGGUCUGAGAGGAUGACCAGCCACACUGGAACUGAGACACGGUCCAGACUCCUACGGGAGUCAGCAGUGGGGAAUAUUGCACAAUGGGCGCAAGCCUGAUGCAGCCAUGCCGCGUGUAUGAAGAAGGCCUUCGGGUUGUAAAGUACUUUCGGCGGGGAGGCGUUACCCGCAGAGAAAGCACCGGCUAACUCCGUGCCAGCAGCCGCGGUAAUUC
rnacentral:rRNA from 1 species